rnacentral:rRNA from 1 species
UACAGAGGGUGCAAGCGUUAAUCGGAUUUACUGGGCGUAAAGCGCGCGUAGGCGGCUAAUUAAAGUCAAAAUGUGAAAAUCCCCCGAGCUUAACUUUGGGAAUUGCAUUCGAUACUGGUUAGCUAGAGUGUGGGAGAGGAUGGUAGAAUUCCAGGUGUAGCGGUGAAAUGCGUAGAGAUCUGGAGGAAUACCGAUGGCGAAGGCAGCCAUCUGGCCUAACACUGACGCUGAGGUGCGAAAGCAUGGGAGCAAACAGG